rnacentral:lncRNA from 1 species
GACUGCAGAUUCCCUCUCCCUCUGGUUUUGCUGGCUCCACAGAUUCAUCAAAUCUACCGUCUCCUACAUCUGGGAAGUAUUUGAUCCUGACUUGUUCACCUCCGAGCUAGCCCCACGUUGCCUUCAUAUACGACAAUCCUCAAUCCUACGUCAGUCAGAGUAUAUCUAGAUUUUUGACAGGGUCUGAACUCACCGAUCUGAAGCUACCAUCGGAAGACCUUAGAAAUGCCCUGUAAUCCUCUAAAAUUUUUAAAUUUUAGGAAUAACAAUUAGGAUUGAGGAAAAAAAAUUUAAUAUUUUGAUUUUUCUUUUGUUUCAGGCCAUGAACAACCUCAUCAGAAAAAUUUUCGGAUUUAGAUAGUAAAUACCUUUACACACACAUACAUAUACAUAUAUACUAUACAUAUAUACA